CAUUGACCACAUCAAAUGUUGAAAAACAGUGAAAACAUCCAUUAAUAUACUGCGUUAAACAGAUCUGAUUUGCUGUCGAAAACGGAAUACAUGUCAUGCGCUCCGAAAAUAUUUCUUUUCCGUGGUCGAUCCUACAAUGGCACAUCAUAAAACCAAAACUGGAGAGACCCGAUGUGCAUCUUAAACGGAAUUUUCUAAGCCUUCCAUGAACGUCUUCAAUGUUUGGAUUUUCCCUAUUUCGGCGAUUGUAGCAGAACUAUUGUAAAGAAAUUCUGACGGAGGCAAGAUAGUAAAUUGAACAUUUUAGAUGGUUGAAAAGAAGCAAUUAAAAACCACGAUGGCCGGGCUGACAUUGGCCUUGACCAACUUUGAAAUCCUCAAAACGAACGAAUAAUUCUCAAAUCGGUUAUAAGGAGCUCGCGGUGAAGGGUAAGGAAUCAUUCGAUUUGAUGAAAAAUUGUUUCACAGGUUAUUUUUCCUUUUGGUUGUAGCAGAUGAAAUUCACCUAAUGUUCGAAGCAAAUUGGCAUGUUCAGUCUGUAAGGCUGGAUUUCACUGUAAGUAGCGUAGUAUCGCCAACGUAAGCCGUAAUUAUAUCAGAACAUUUUCAGCAUGAUAAAAAAAACUUCUACUAGAUGUGACGAAAACUCCAUAGAACAUACCUCGGCAUUACGUAGAUCUGUUGUGUAGGCAUGUAACCGGGCCUAUUAACUAGUC